UUUAUAUGUUUAAAUAUAAUAAACACAGCUGUAUUGCAUUGCAUAUGAAUUUUGAAUAUCAAACAAACAUCUAUGAUAGGAUAGUAUGCUUGAAGUGGAAAGGCUAAUGGAAAUGGACAAAAGAUGGAUUCUAAUAAUCCUAGUGAGUAAGGUAACAAAGAGACAAAUCAUUCAAUAAUUUGAAAUGCUAAAGAACAAAAUGAGGCUCAGUCCAUCUAACCCCCUAAUCCAACGUGCUCU
rnacentral:lncRNA from 1 species